rnacentral:tRNA from 1 species
AAGGGAGACCUAAUUCGGGUAUAAGACGAAAAAAGAGUAGUCGAAACCAAGAAUCAAUCCCAAAAGGUCGGAACGAGGUAUGUGGCUUUCAAACUAGGUUCUGGGUUCACACAAGACCUGAAUCAGGAACAAGGGCUAUUAGCUCAGGUGGUUAGAGCGCACCCCUGAUAAGGGUGAGGUCCCUGGUUCGAGUCCAGGAUGGCCCACCUGCACAGGUGGCAAAAACAAAGAAGCGAGGAAUCAGCACCUUAUCUUAUCUAUAUAUAAGAGAGAAUGCUGGCUCUGAGUAAAGAGUCCAGAGGAACCUUGAAAACUGCAUAGAGCUAGGUGAAAAAGCCAAAGAAGGAGACCGCAA